GACGAACGCUGGCGGCGUGCCUAAUACAUGCAAGUUGAGCGCUGAAGGUUGGUACUUGUACCAACUGGAUGAGCAGCGAACGGGUGAGUAACGCGUGGGGAAUCUGCCUUUGAGCGGGGGACAGCAUUUGGAAACGAAUGCUAAUACCGCAUAAAAACUUUAAACACAAGUUUUAAGUGUGAAAGAUUCAAUUGCAUCACUCAAAGUUGAUCCCGCGUUGUAUUAGCUAGUUGGUGAGGUAAAGGCUCACCAAGGCGAUGAUACAUAGCCGACCUGAGAGGGUGAUCGGCCACAGUGGGAAUGGGACACGGCCCAAACUCCUAAGGGAGGCAGCAGUAGGGAAUCUUCGGCAAUGGGCGAAAGUCUGACCGAGGAACGCCGCGUGAGUGAAGAAGGUUUUCGGAUCGUAAAACUCUGUUGGUAGAGAAGAACGAUGGUGAGAGUGGAAAGCUCAUCAAGUGACGGUAACUACCCAGAAAGCGACGGCUAACUACGUG
rnacentral:rRNA from 1 species